GGGCAAGGCCUAGGGGCCAAUCUGCACUGGAGUUGGGUUCCAGUGCCGCAAGGCGUGGGGGUUCGAGUCCCCCCUUUCGCACCA
rnacentral:tRNA from 1 species